rnacentral:lncRNA from 1 species
CCUCUCCGUGUCUCCGCGGAGACGUUACCGUGGUCCAGCUGGAGACCAAAAGGUGAAAAUGCUCAAGUUCAAGGCCUUUUGCCUGGAUUACUGGCAGUUCCUGUGCCUACAGCCCCUGCAUGGAGCCUACAAAAGGUUCUUCCGAGCGUGUGUGUUCUGUCCAGUGCACACCUUGGUCAAGAAAGAACCACAUCCGGGCCAGCAGGAGAUCAUCAUGGAGCCGUCGCCAUGGUCACCUUGAACGGCGUGUUAUUAAAGACCUGGAGGAGGGAAUUGUCCCGUCUAUUCUGAGGGAAUUAGUUUUUCCUGAUUUCACACUCUGUGAAGUCUGCGGCCAUUAGCAUACGAGCAAUUCUGGGAAAGUGUGGGAGCUUUUCUUCUUCCUUCCAGUGGGCUUUCUCCAAAGGGGGCGGGCACGGAGGGUCUCACGGCAGCUGUAGAAAGGAAGUCCCUGCUCUUGGGAGGGUGCCAGCGAGAGAGGCCUGUCCUGCGUCUGAUUAGUGCAAGCCACAUCAGAGAGGAGCCCGACACCCAGUGGGCCCUGAGCGCUGUGGUGCAGCCUUUCACCCCACCCCCCGCCCCCAGGCUUGUUCAUGCGGCCUCAGGAGGGCAUGUCCGGCUGUCAGUGAUUCGGUGUCUACCGCGGUGGGGCACUUUAUAUACUUAAUUGUUCAUCCUCAUCCCUCCUGCAAAAGAAGCAUUAAAGCCCCUGUGCGCAGGUGAGCAGAAUAAAACCAGAGGGCAGGCAACUGCAGAAGAGUGGCCACGAGAUCUGACCCCUGUCUUUCCU